rnacentral:rRNA from 1 species
AAACCAACUGGGAUUACCUUAGUAACGGCGAGUGAAGCGGUAAAAGCUCAAAUUUGAAAUCUGGUACUUUCAGUGCCCGAGUUGUAAUUUGUAGAAUUUGUCUUUGAUUAGGUCCUUGUCUAUGUUCCUUGGAACAGGACGUCAUAGAGGGUGAGAAUCCCGUUUGGCGAGGAUACCUUUUCUCUGUAAGACUUUUUCGAAGAGUCGAGUUGUUUGGGAAUGCAGCUCAAAGUGGGUGGUAAAUUCCAUCUAAAGCUAAAUAUUGGCGAGAGACCGAUAGCGAACAAGUACAGUGAUGGAAAGAUGAAAAGAACUUUGAAAAGAGAGUGAAAAAGUACGUGAAAUUGUUGAAAGGGAAGGGCAUUUGAUCAGACAUGGUGUUUUUGCAUGCACUCGCCUCUCGUGGGCUUGGGCCUCUCAAAAUUUCACUGGGCCAACAUCAAUUCUGGCAGCAGGAUAAAUCAUUAAGAAUGUAGCUACUUCGGUAGUGUUAUAGCUUUUUGGAAUACUGUUAGCCGGGAUU